rnacentral:lncRNA from 1 species
GCUGGUACAUGCUGCGUUAGCAGGGAGCAGUGCCCAGCUGCAAGCCAGGCCGGUGGCGUGCUGACCAUCACUGCCCUGAUCUGGGCACAUCAGAGCAAGGGGCCCCCAUCCGGGGAGCCCAGCCUUGGGCGAGACCAAGCAGGAGUCCUGGGUCCCCUCCCAGGUAACUGGAAUAUGUUGAAGGUAGACCUACAAGAAACCAGGACACAAGAGCAGCCCCCAGGGGUCGGUGGGGAGUCCCCCCAACUAGGGUGGGUGAACAGCCCUCUCCUUCGAUAAGGACAGUCACACUGAAUCCUCUGCCCCAAACAACAGAUGCACACACGUGUCCCAGAGGAGCAGAUGCGCAGACCUUGCAGGAAGGAGAGACGACCUCCUUACCCCUGAGGGUCAGACACAGACAUAAAGCCCCACGCUCACUCCAACUUGGUCAGAGAGACAAACCUAUGGACCUUCCUGGAGAAAGAGACAGCACCCUCCGUACCACGCAAGGACAGAUUCCCACAUCCCCCAGGAGAACAGGCACAGGCGCCUCUUUCUCACGCUCUCUGCCACUCUCUCGUCCGCCCAGCCAUUUCCUCUGCCUCAGAGGAGGGGGGCUGGGAGUGACAACCCAGAAAGGGUGGGAGGCGAAGGAGCCCCUGCCCAGGAUCCCAGGGGGCAGAUGUCAGAAGGCGACAGCUGGUCCUCCUCACCCCUGCGGCCUGGCCAGGCUGGAGGGUCAGCAGGCAGGGAGCUGGCUCCCCAGCCAGGCUGAAGACCGUCAGGAGCCCCCAGCCUGACGUCAGUCCCACUCAUUGUUGUUGCUCUGGCUUGAGUCACUCCCUGUGACGCCACCGGGGUCAGCUCUGGAGAGGCUGGGGGUGGCCUGCAGGGCCAGCCUCAGGGCUCAGCUCUCCUGGGGCACACACUAGGAUGGGGUGGGGCCAUCUGAGACCACACUCACCAUUGCAAAGCCAGCUGCCUACUCCCAAGUCUUGGGUUGGCCUUCGAUGUCCCUCCACAGGCCUGCGCUGCAGGCGUGGCUGGGAGGGCCUCAGCCGGUAGCCUGUCUGCCUGGCUGGCCUUGGCCUGGGCUCUCACUGAGAAGUCUGCUCUCUGUCCUUGCCUCUCCUCCCUCAGAACCCUCUGUUUCCACCCACAGCCCUCUGUAGGACCUCUCCCCCGAGCUCUUUUCCUUCCGCUUCCCCAGGAAACCUCCCCAGAAGAACUCCCCCCAGUCCCACUUUUCCUGGAAUCACUACCUGCUUCCCGCCCAGCUCCUCACGCGCUCUCCUGUGUCUCUGCCGCCGUCUCACUUUGUUUUGUGGUGCCCAGUCACCUCCCAACCUGCUGGGAGCAGGGCCUGGGACUCCUCUGCACUCUGAGUGUGUCACUUUCUAUUCCAGGCCCAGGCCUCUCUCUGGGAUGACAGCAGUGGCCUCCAUCCUGGCCCUCUCUGGCUUCUGCAAAACCUGCUGCCCUUUCCCACACAAUCUGUCGUGUUUUCUGGCCCAGGUGUAUCUCCCGGGCCGUCUCCCCCAUGAGGCUCUGGAGGAGCCAAGACUCCUCCGAGUCUUGUGACUUGUCCACCUUGGUAUGCCACAGGCCGGGUACGUGGACAGUUACAUACAUGUGGCCUGAAUGAAUGAAUGAAUGAAUGAUUACAUCUUGAUCAUCAGGGGAAGUGGCAUAGGCUGAGAGAAUUCAUUCCACACAGUCUCACGCUUUUGGCCAAGACCCUCUCUCCCUGACAGGACCACCCGGAUGGGCAUGGAACUCAGGGUCUGAGGUGCAAUGAGCACCACUCUGUGAGGACUCAGAGAGGUAAGAGGAGGCAAGGACUGGCCAGCAUCUGGGCCUGAGAUGGGAGAGGUGAGGGGUCAGCCUCCCUCUCAGGCAGGAGAGCCUCCAUGGAGAGGGCGAGCUUUGGAGUAGGGACGAGAGUGGGUAAAAAGGCUGGGGGAGUGAAGAGAGUAGCUGUGUGGCCUUGUAGUCAUCAGGUUCUCUGGAGAAACAGAACCAACAGGAUGUGUAUACAUUGAAAGAGACUUAUUAGGAAGAAUUGGCUCACGUGGUUAUGGAGGCUGACGAGUCUCAAAAUCUGCAGUCAGCAAGCUGGAGACCCAGGAAAGCCAAUGGUGUAGUUUCCAUCCAAGUAGUUCCAAAUGUGCCAGGCUUGAGACCCAAAAACAGAUUCUUCAGUUUGAGUCUGAAGGUGGGAGAAAACCCAUGUCCCAACUUGAAC